UCACUUUGGUUUGUUUGGGUGAGAAGUAAUGCGGUAUAGUCAAUUCCACUACCCUUCGCGAUGAUGGUCCAACCAAACUUUGUUUGUUUAGCUACAGGUUCUCCCGUUUUUCCCGCCCGAGCAGGCUGGUUAGUUUUGAUGCAGAUAUAGUCGCUGGAUCCGAGAAUCAAGUGGAUUGGUAGCUUCGGCUUUUGGUCGUUUUCAUUCAUAGUGAUUUCCAGAAGGUGGG